rnacentral:rRNA from 1 species
GCGGAAUGCUUUACACAUGCAAGUCGAACGGCAGCACGGACUUCGGUCUGGUGCCUAGUGGCGGACGGGUGAGGAAUACGUAGGAAUCUGCCCUUAAGUGGGGGAUAACCAGGGGAAACCCUGACUAAUACCGCAUGAUCUCUUCGGAGCAAAGAGGGGGACCGCAAGGCCUCUCGCUUCUGGAUGAGCCUACGUCUGAUUAGCUAGUUGGUAGGGUAAAGGCCUACCAAGGCGACGAUCAGUAACUGGUCUGAGAGGAUGAUCAGUCACACCGGAACUGAGACACGGUCCGGACUCCUACGGGAGGCAGCAGUGGGGAAUAUUGGACAAUGGGCGCAAGCCUGAUCCAGCAAUGCCGCGUGUGUGAAGAAGGCCUUCGGGUUGUAAAGCACUUUAGCCUGGAAAGAAAAAACUUUGGUUAACACCCAAAGUCUUGACGGUACCAGGAGAAUAAGCACCGGCUAACUCUGUGCCAGCCGCCGCAGUAACAC